rnacentral:rRNA from 1 species
UGCCAGACUCCUACGGGAGGCAGCAGUGGGGAAUAUUGGGCAAUGGGCGCAAGCCUGACCCAGCAACGCCGCGUGAAGGAAGAAGGCUUUCGGGUUGUAAACUUCUUUUCUCAGGGACGAAGCAAGUGACGGUGCCUGAGGAAUAAGCCACGGCUAACUACGUGCCAGCAGCCGCGGUAAUACGUAGGUGGCAAGCGUUGUCCGGAUUUACUGGGUGUAAAGGGCGUGCAGCCGGGCUGACAAGUCAGAUGUGAAAUCCCGCGGCCCAACCGCGGAACUGCAUUUGAAACUGUCAGUCUUGAGUACCGGAGGGGUCAUCGGAAUUCCUUGUGGAGCGGUGAAAUGCGUAGAUAUAAGGAAGAACACCAGUGGCGAAGGCGGAUGACUGGACGGCAACUGACGGUGAGGCGCGAAAGCGUGGGGAGCAAACAGGAUUAGAUACCCCCGUAAA